ACGGGUGAGUAACACGUGGGUGAUCUGCCCUGCACUUCGGGAUAAGCCUGGGAAACUGGGUCUAAUACCGGAUAUGACCUCCUAUCGCAUGGUGGGUGGUGGAAAGAUUUAUCGGUGCAGGAUGGGCCCGCGGCCUAUCAGCUUGUUGGUGGGGUAAUGGCCUACCAAGGCGACGACGGGUAGCCGACCUGAGAGGGUGACCGGCCACACUGGGACUGAGACACGGCCCAGACUCCUACGGGAGGCAGCAGUGGGGAAUAUUGCACAAUGGGCGAAAGCCUGAUGCAGCGACGCCGCGUGAGGGAUGACGGCCUUCGGGUUGUAAACCUCUUUCAGCAGGGACGAAGCGCAAGUGACGGUACCUGCAGAAGAAGCACCGGCUAACUACGUGCCAGCAGCCGCGGUAAUACGUAGGGUGCAAGCGUUGUCCGGGAUUACUGGGCGUAAAGAGUUCGUAGGCGGUUUGUCGCGUCGUUUGUGAAAACCAGCAGCUCAACUGCUGGCUUGCAGGCGAUACGGGCAGACUUGAGUACUGCAGGGGAGACUGGAAUUCCUGGUGUAGCGGUGAAAUGCGCAGA
rnacentral:rRNA from 1 species